GUGGGGAAUAUUGCACAAUGGGCGAAAGCCUGAUGCAGCGACGCCGCGUGAGCGAUGAAGUAUUUCGGUACGUAAAGCUCUAUCAGCAGGGAAGAUAAUGACGGUACCUGACUAAGAAGCACCGGCUAAAUACGUGCCAGCAGCCGCGGUAAUACGUAUGGUGCAAGCGUUAUCCGGAUUUACUGGGUGUAAAGGGAGCGUAGGCGGCGUGGUAAGUCAGAAGUGAAAGCCCGGGGCUCAACCCCGGGACUGCUUUUGAAACUAUCAUGCUAGAGUGUCGGAGAGGUAAGUGGAAUUCCUAGUGUAGCGGUGAAAUGCGUAGAUAUUAGGAGGAACACCAGUGGCGAAGGCGGCUUACUGGACGAUAACUGACGCUGAGGCUCGAAAGCGUGGGGAGCAAACAGGAUUAGAUACCCGAGUAGUCC
rnacentral:rRNA from 1 species